rnacentral:rRNA from 1 species
CCUACGGGUGGCUGCAGUGGGGAAUAUUGGACAAUGGGCGAAAGCCUGAUCCAGCAACGCCGCGUGAGUGAAGACGUCCUUCGUUGUGUAAACCUCUUUCCGCAGGGACGAACAUGCCGAUACCUGCGUAAGAAGACGCGGCUACCUACGUGCCAGCAGCCGCGGUCAUAAGUAGGGGGCAAGCGUUAUCCGGAUUUACUGGGUGUAAAGGGAGCGUAGACGGCAAUGCAGGUCUGGAGUGAAAAGCGGGGGGUCAACCCCCGGACUGCACUUGAAACUGUACGGCUGGAGUGACGGAGAGGUAAGUGGAAUUCCUAGUGUAGCGGUGAAAUGCGUAGAUAUUAGGAGGAACACCAGUGGCGAAGGCGGCUUGCUGGACUGUAACUGACGCUGAGGCGCGAAAGCGUGGGGAGCAAACAGGAUUAGAUACCCGAGUAGUC